ensembl:lncRNA
CGUGGCCACUCUUAAGACCAAUUCAGCGGUCAAAACUGCAGGGCAGACCUGGCCUAAGAGUGGUGCUGGGAUGUUCUGACCUGGACCCAAGGGCAAAAUCCUCAGGCAUCAACACCAGCCUUUCUAUCUCUGCAGAGGUGGCACAGCCCCUCCAGGCCCAUCUGGGGCUGUAGGAAUUCUGGGACCUGGAUCUUCCAGGCACACCUGGGGCUGUAGGAAUCCUGGGACCCAGCUUUUCCAGAAACUCUUGGGGCUGUGGGAAUCCUGGGACCUGGCCCCUCCAAGCAUAGCUGCGGCUGUGGGAAUCCUGGGACCGGGGUCUUCCAGGCACUCCUGGGGCUGUGGAAUCCUCAGGCCCUGCCAGUUGGGAGCAACCUGUGUGUGGCGUGAUCUGGUGUGGCAUGCUUCCCGCAUGUGGGGUCACCCCUGACUGCCUUGACUUCCUUCUCCUUUCACUACCCAGGGCCUGGGACCCUCCUCUCCUUACAAGGGGUCCCCACUGCAGCCCACAUCUCCUCUGACAGAUCCCUCCAUGGAAAAGCUCCAGCACCUCAAACUCACUUCUGGCUGCUUUGGAAACUCUUCUCUUGCUAUCAACCUUCUCUGAAGAGCUUUAAUCUCUCCUUCCAUGGAGUCUCCUGUGGACUUAAUAAAUGAAUCCACACACUUGUACUAGUGGGUAGCGUGGAAUUACUGUGUGGCUUUCUCCAAUGUAGAUGUCGAUAUUUCAGUAAAGUCUGAGUUGUUUCUGGAAGGUCAGUGCCUGAGACAACACGAAUCCCAACCCCACAGGUGCGGCUUCAUGGUGCUGGUCACUGGGUGGCUGAGCGCUUUCCGAGUCCUGUGAAUCAGACCCUGCAGAAACAGUGUGAUUUGGAGCCCAUUGGGGGAAAGCAUCAUACGCUUCUCUAGCCAACAUCUCAGAUGAAGGUGAUUUGAGGCCUGGGUCAGAGACUUUAGCCAGGAGCUGGCCGUGCUCCCACACGUUCAGGGGAGUGCUCGCUUCUGACGGCUGCGAACGUCUGAGUCUCCCAUUGCCUCUUGACUCAGUUCUCUAAGCUUCAUCUUAGUGAUGUCAAGUUACCAGAACUUAAUAGAAACUGGUCGUUUGAGCUUAGCUUUUGCACUGAAUUAAGAUUUCAUUUAUUUUUGUGAUUUUUAUAAAAUAUUAGUAUGAGUCCUUUAUUUGAAAAAAUGUUCUCAUAUCUUUUGAAACUUUAUCUUGAAGUUGCCUACUCCAGUGCCUGUUUUCUUUUCUAAAAAACUCGACUGAUAAAUUUGGCCUUAUUUUAAAUCCCAGGAAAAGUUUCUAUUUCCAUACUAAUAUCCCUACUUCUUAUUAUCUUGUAACAAAUAGCUACAACUCAGUUUCAUUUCUGCCUUCUCAUUAUGAUAACUGUAAUUUAUAGCACUCGACUAUGUACAGCACGAUGUUAUUCUUGCACUUUCUGGGGUGGUCAGCUGGGAUUAUUUCCAGGAAGCCCACACUCCAGAGGUGGACACCAGCAUCCAGAGGUGGACACCAGCAUCCGGAGGUGGACACCAGCAUCCGGAGGUGGACACCACCAUGCUUUGCCAUCUGCCAUCACCGUCAUGAAUUUCAGAGAUGGAUUUUUUAAAUUGGAGAAAUGAGAGACUGGCUACCUAGCAUGAUGAAUGUUAGAAAUAAGUUAUCGGUGAUGAGAUGGACAGCAACUCGAGGCACAUGGAUUGCGUAAAGAUACUUGGAAAAGAGCCUGACCCCUGUAUGAAUACAGCGCCUUGGUUCUCAGGGAUGACGCUGUGGGCUAAAGCCCCUGUGUCCCAUCUCCACUGUGAGCUGAAGGUCUCUCAUGUUGGAAGCCUUCUCUG